CAGAUACACGUGUAGAAACAUACACACACGUAAUGUACACAUAUGUAUAGUGCACAUAUGCACGCACUUGUACACACAUUUAGGCAUACACAUGCAUAUGUAGAUGCAUGUGUACAUGCAUGUAUACAUCUACACAUGCACAGACACACAUACAUGUACACAUGCAUACUGUGUACAUAAUACAUGUAUACAGAUACAUGUGCGCAUGCACGUGUACACACAUGCAUGCAUACACACAUGCAUUUGUAGAUAUAUGUGUAGGUGUGUACACACAACAUACACAUAUGCAUCCACACAUACACAUAUACAUAUGAGGUGGCACGUUCAGCUUUCAAGAGGACCAUCAGGGACUUUGUCACCUUGACAACUUUAGCCUUGCCUUCUAGUCACCUUGCCGGAACACUUGUGCCCGUGUUUUUCUAGCACUGUCAUAAGAAUACUUUUACCUAUCAAGGCAACUGGGGGUUAGGAGAGCUUUUUGCACAGGAGGCUACUUGGCUUUGUUUGAAAACUGAUGAUACAUGAGGAUUGGGGUGGUGAAUCACUCACAUGUUUCUUCAUAUGAAAAAUGAGGACUGUGGGAUUCUCUGGCUGGAUCUCAGCACCUAGAAAUGGAUCUGGGCAAUAGGAACUGCUCAGUAUUAGCUACCGCUUUGGUUGCCUUCUCCUUGCGGAAAGCUGGCCUCUCACACUGAAUUUGUAUCAUAGGCACUCAUGAGGGUCUUGACUGUAUCAAUAUCUGAUGAGAGAUUUUAGUGCAGUUCUGUUAUCGUGGCUGAUUUGCUCAUUUGGUAGCUAGCAUCCAGCUUCUUGUGAACAUUAAAAUAAAAUAAAAUAGAUUAUGGAGGAAUAGAAUACAGAUACGUAGUAAGGUAUUAUUUUCCAGACAAAAUGGAUUUGGAUAAAAGAAUCUAAUUAAGAACUUGUGCAUGAUUCUUUUAAAAUUCUUUUGAAUCCAUUUUUUUUUUUUUGGCCUGUUUUCAAGUCUCCGAUUUUUGUCACCCUUCUCACACCAGGUCAGAGAGAUAGCUAAUGGUCAGAAGGAAUCUUCCAGCAAUGACCAUAGCGCUUUCUCCUGCCUGCAGAUGCCUCUUUUUAUUCAGCCUUUAUGGGAAGUAGCAGCACCAUCCAGUUCUCAGAGAGCAAGCUCUGGAGUAACUGAGCUAACCCCAGUUACCCCAGUGGAUUUACAGAUUGAGGUUACAACCCAGCAGGGUUCUCUUCCUGGAAAGAAUAGCCUUCCCUCUAAGGUUUCAAAUAGACCCUGGGUGAGGAAGGAGCCCUAAACAGCUUGAAAAAUUGAAUGCUCUUUGGGCAAAGCAGGAAGCCGUCCUAUGGAAGAGCAUCAUUUGAGCAUAAAUCAGGUUAUCAGGACAAACAGAGUGUUCAGGAGGUCAAGAUGGUUAAGCAGAGACCCUGACCAGAAUGUCCGUGGCGGAGAGAAACAAUCUUGUUGGGAAAAGGAUGACAAUAAUUGGGGACUUAGAAUAAAGGCUAAAAAUGAUUCAAAGAGAAUGCAAAAAGAAUCAGGCACAAAUCGUUUACUAUACUCUGUUAUGCAAAUCUCACCUUACUAUGUGUUUGUAUUCUAUUCCUCCACAAUCUUUAUUUUAUUUUAAUGUUCAAAGAGACUUGUAGGUGCCAAUUAAAUGAACAAAACAGCCAGAGACAACAGAACUGCCCUAAAAAAAGUCCCGCAUCAGCUCUUGAGAGCAGGUUCCUUAAAGGUGAACAAUAUUCCACAUACAAGGACUUUUUCAGCACCAUGCAUUAGAAAUGGAAGUGAAUGUUUAUUAUUUUUUGUAUAAGUUGGUUGAUAUGGCUUUUCAGCUUCCCUCAGUAUCAUUAUCCAAAUUUUGUAGAUGACACUAAAGCUCAGAGGAGUUAAACCAUUUUCCUUAAAUCACAUAGCUUUAAAUAGGAAAACCAGAUAUGAAAAGCAGAUUUUUUUUCUAAAUUAAAAAACCAAAAACAAAAACACGUGAGCUCUUGCUUUACCCUAGCACAUAGUCUUGCCAUCUGUUUUCUCCACACCAGGUGAUUCCUGUAACAUUCAUUCACAUAACAAAUACAAAUAAAUGAGUGGAUUCAUUCAUCAGAUAUUAAUUCAGAAUCCCUUUUGUGCCUUCCAGAAAUCUGGACCAUCUCACAACCCCCAGAGAGUCUCAGCUACAAGGAACAAGUGAUAAUGCCAUCCCACUUUUAUAAACACACACACACACACAUGCAAUACACACACAAUCAUUUAAUCAUUUUUAAUUAUUUAAUUAUUUUUUAAAAAUCAGUGACACUUUAGCUGGGCAGGUCUAGAUAGGUCUUCUUUGCUGGGACGUGUCUUUUUCUGUCCUGGAAUACCCUAAACUUCACAUUUUGGCAGCGUGAGUUUUCCCUUUGUGACUUUCUCCUUCUUCCCUUUUUUCCUCCUUCUUUGCAGAGAAUGAGUAGCCACUGCACCUUGCCCUGCGCCAUCAAUGAGAAGAUCUGCUCUUAGUAGAGCCCUGCUUUCCCGCUGAAGGCCCUGAAAUCACCUGUGUUCCAGGCCACCCACUAAGGAUAAACAAAGCUUCCCUGAUAUGGGGAAUUAGCUCAAGUGGUAGAGCGCUUGCUUAGCAUGCAAGAGGUAGUGGGAUCAAUGCCCACAUUCUCCAAGCUUUAUUAUUUAGGUACCCAAACCCGAGUCAGUGUCUGAGAGCAAGACACUGCUCUCGGUGUCUUUGGUUCAAGACAUAGGAGCAGCAACAAUACAGGACUGGUGACAGCUUCCUGCUGGCAUUCAGUAUAGUGUAGAUCUACUGUGUAAUUAAUUUUCUGUUUCUUCGAGGAGCUGUGAAACCAAAGGACAUAUAAAACUGCUCUUUUCUCCCUGUUUCUGCCUGCAGCUUGGUCCUAAAUGUGAGACAAUUGUGAAAAGUGGAGGACAGAGCCACCUGGUUAAAUACAGCCCCAGCUUUCUGGUGAGAGGACUGAAACCAAGAUGUGUCAAGUAACUAGAAUGUGCCUGGACAGAUACUGUAGAAAGCAAAACCAUAAAGUUGUUCAUGAGCUUGUGGACGCACCUGCCAGCUGUGAAUAAGUGGCUCUAAUCCCGAACAACUUACCUAAAAAGAGCCUGAGAGCUGAACUGUGCAAUGGCCCACUUUCCAGUCCUCACUGACCACUGGGUUGCACACACUUUGGAGAUCUCUGAACAGCAGUGUCAAGGCUUUCAAAUAGAGUUAUCUUUGAAACGACAACACAUGAAAGUCUGGUUGGUACUUGGAGCUUAAAUACAAGGCAAUUGUGUGCCUGCAAAAACAAAAAUAGCAAUAUUAUCCUUAAGAUUUCAACAAGACACAGUGUCUCAUCACAUAAUCCAAAGAAGUCCAGGUUACAAGCCCCACAAUAUUCAGCAUUAUGAAAAAACAGGGAGAUCUUAAUUCACAUGGCAAAGAGAAUCCUCGAAUAACAAUAUUGAGAGGACACAGAUGUCAAAAUCAUCUGACACAUACAUUAAAGCAGAUAUUAUAACAAUGCUCCUAGAAUCGGGGAUAACAUUCGUGAAGUGAAUGGAAAGUUGGAAAGUCUCACCAAAUAUUUCGAAUACAUAAACACCAAUUUAAACUUAAGAAUUAAAAAAAUGUAUUAACCAAAACUCUUAGGGGAAAUAAAAAGCUUAAUUGGAGGAUCUCCAUAAUCGAAUGCAGAAGACUAAGGAAAAAGUCAAUGAACUUGAAAACAGAACACGAAUACCUACAUAAUCUGAACUAUAGAGAGAAAGGAGGAUUUUAUUGUCUCUGAACAGAGGCUCAGGCACAAAUAAAAAAUAACAAAUCCAACAUUCACAUUAUUGUAAUCUGGAAAGAAGAGGACAAAGUGGUCUUUGUGGGAUAAAACUUUGAACAAUUAAUAGCUGAAAAUGGUUCAAAUUUGUCAAAAGAUAUAAACCAGAUUUUUAAAGUUCAGUAAAUGUCAAUCAGGAUAAACCCAAAGAAACCCAUAGCAAGGCAUAUCAUAAUCAAACUGCUGAAAACUAAGAAAAUACAAAACAAUUUUGAAAGCAGCCAAAGGGAAAUGAAAGAGAAACUACCAAAUGAAUGAUUGUAGAUUUCGCAUCAGGAACCAUAGGGGCCAGAAAAAAUGUCAUAACAUUCGGUAAGUAACAAAAGAAAAAGACAUAUCGACCCAGAAUGCUAUGUGGAGCAAAAGUAUCUUCCAGACAUAAAGGCAAAUAAAUGCAUUCUCAGUGGAAGGUAAGUAAAUACAUUCUCAUUCUUAGGAAGACUGCUGGAAAAGAAUUAGCAAAGAUUUGAGAUAAGAAAAAUGAUACCAGAAGGAAACUUAGAACAUCAUCAGUGAAGGAACAAAAGCAGAAAUAGAACAUGUCUGGGUAGACAUAACAGACUAUUAUUCUUCCCUUGAGUUCCUUAAGGAGACUACGGAAAAGAAGAGUGACUAAGAUCUCUGAAGAAGGGAAAAGCUAGAUGACUGGGCCACAAGAGGAAAAAAAGCAGCAAGACAGAGAUUUGUUGGUGCCAACUAAAUGAGCCCAACAGCCAGUGACAACAGAACUGCACUAAAAAAAGUCCCUCAUCAGCUCUUGAGAGCAGGUUCCUUAAAGCUUGAAUGUGAGGCAACUGUGAAAAGUGCAGGGCAGAGCCACCUGGGUAAAUACAGCCCUGGCUUUCUGGUGAGAGGACUGAAACCAGGAUGUGUCAAGUAACUAGAAUGUGCCUGGACAGAUACUGUAGAAAGCAAACCCAUAAAGUUGUUCAUGAGCUUGUGGACGCACCUGCCAGCUGUGAAUAAGUGGGUCUAAUCCCAAACAACUUACCUAAAAAGAGCCUGAGGACUGAACUAAACAAUGGUCCACUUUCCAGUCCUCACUGACCACUGGUUGCACACACUCCAGAGAUCUCUCAUCCGCAGUGUCAAGGCUUUCAAAUAGAGUUAUCUGUGAAACAACAACACAUGGAAGUCUGGUUGGUACUUGGAGCUUAAAUACAAGGCAAUUGUGUGCCUGCAAAAACAAAAAGAGCAAUAUUAUCCUUAAGAUUUCAACAAGACACAGUGUCUCAUCACAUAAUCCAAAGAAGUCCAGGUUACAAGCCCCAAAAUAUUCAGCAUUAUGAAAAACCAGGGAGAUCUUAAUUCACAUGGCAAAGAGAAUCCUUGCAUAACAAUAUUGAGAGGACACAUAUGUCAAAAUCAUCUGACACAUACAUUAAAGCAGUUAUUAUAACAAUGCUCCUAGAAUUACGGGAUAGCAUUCAUGAAGUGAAUGGAAAGUUGGAAAGUCUCACCAAAUAUUUGGAAUAUGUAAACACCAAUUUAAACUUAAGAAUUAAAAAAAGUAUUAACCAAAACUAUUAGGGGAAAUAAAAAGCUUAAUUGGAUGAUCUCAAUAGCAGUAUGCAGAAGACUAAGGAAAAAGUCAAUGAACUUGAAAACGGAACAAGAAUACCUACAGAAUCUGACCUAUAGAAAGAAAGGAGGAUUUUAUUGUCCCUGAACAGAGGCUCAGGGACAAAUAAAAAAUAACAAAUCUAACAUUCACAUUAUUGUAAUCUGGAAACAUUCACAUUAUUGUAAGAGGACAAAGAGGUCUUUGUGGGAUAAAACUGUGAAGAAUUAAUGGCUGAAAAUGUAUCAAAUUUCUCAAAAGAUAUAAACCAGAUUUUUAAAGUUCAGUAAAUGUCAAGCAGGAUAAACCAAAAGAAACCCAUUGCAAGACAUAUCAUAAUCAAACUGCGGAAAAUUAAGAAAACACAAAACAAUUUUGAAAGCAGCCAAAGGGAAAUGAAAGAUAAAAUACCAAAUGAAUGAUUGUAGAUUUCUCAUCGGGAACCCAGGAGCCAGAAAAAAAUGUCAUAACAUUCAGUAAAUACCAAAGGAAAAAUACAUUAUCAACCCAGAAUGGUAUGUGGAGCAAAAGUAUCUUCCAGACAUAAAGGCAAAUAAAUGCAUUCUCAUUGGAAGGUAAAUAAAUACAUUCUCAGUCCUAGCAAAACUGCUGGAAAAGAAUUAGCAAAGGUUUGAGAUAAGAAAAGUGAUACCAGAAGGAAACUUAGAACAUCAUCAAUGAAGGAACAAAAGCAGAAAUAGAAAAUGUCUGGGUAGACAUAACAGACUAUUAUUCUUCUCUUGAGUUCCUUAAGGUAUGUUUGAUGGUUGAAAGCAAAAAUUGUAACUUUAUCUGAUGCAGUUGUCAUUGUAUCUAGAUGUACUACAUACAUAAGAUAAAAGGGUAAAUGUAAUGGGACUAACUCUUGAUGAAGUUUCUAUAUUCAACUUGAAUGGUAAAAUAUUGAUUCUUAGUAUACUGUGAAAAGUUAUAUAUGUAUAUGGUAAUCCCUAGACCACUUAACAACCAGAUUGAAAUAAACCAAAACAAGAUAGACAGAGGAACAUAGAAGAAUUAAAACAAAGGGAAAAAAGGUUAAUAAAUUAUUAAAUAGUAGAUCUAUCUAAAAACUUAUCUAUAAUAACAUUAUAUGUAAAUUAUCUAAAUGCAUUAAGUAAAAACUAGAGAUCAUCAGAAUGUGUUAAAAAUAAAUAUGCUGACUAAAGAAAGCCACCUGCAAUACACUUAUAAAUAAGAAUAAAAGUUAUAGAGCAGAUUGAAAGAAAAGAGUGGGAAAAGAUACCUCAUGCAAGCAUUAAUCAAAGACAGCUGUGGUGUAUAUAUAUAAAAUCAGACAAAGUAGAUUUGAAAGCAGAGAAACUUUUCAGGAAUAAUGAGGCCUCCUAAAUAAUUAUGAUUGUCAAUUUUUCAGGAGAAUAUUGUCCCAAAUGUAUAUGAGGACACAGAGCUUCAAAACUCAUAAACAAAAUUGGAUACGCCAAGUAAAAAUAGAAAAAUCCAGUUAUAGUUGCAGUCAUUAACACUCCUCUCUGAGUAAUUGGAAGAUUUAGUGGAACACAAAUCAACAGACAUACUGGAGAAUUGAACCAUGCCAUCCAGUAAUGGACCUAUCAAUUUCAUAAUGCAAAAUAAAAAUUCAGGUAGAAAGCAAAGACAAAAAUUAAAAGAAAAGCAAGAUCAUGUUAUAAUGAGAAAAUUAAGAGUAGUCCAGUGUAUAGAAGGGUGCUAUUAUUGAAAGAGUUUGAAAUAGUGACUUAGUUAUUUUGAAACAUUUUUGAAGACGUUAUUUAGCUGGAAAUGACAGAAAGACUGAAAAUGGUGAAUGUGGAGGUGGAUCUUCCCUUGUCCAUAUUUAUCUUGUCUUCGUUUGAGGUCUGGGGUGUCUAUACUUCCUCUGAAUUACCUGAUCUUACUACAGUGUCUGGCACAGAGCAUCUCCCCAGUGAAUAUGUACUAAAUGAGUAGAAAGUAAUUGAUAGAUUCAAAAGAGUUGUGCAAGAAUAAUGUUCAUUAUUUGACUAAUCACUGAAUGUGGUGUUUCAAGGAAGACAAUGAAUCAAAGUUGACUUGAAAGGUAAGCCCAGGGCCAGACGUGGUGGCUCAUUUCUGUAAUCCCAGCACUUUGGGAGGCCGAGAUCAGUGGAUCCCUUGACACCAGGAGUUUGAGACCAGCCUAGGCAACACAGUGAAAACCUGUCUCUACAACAAAUACAAAAAUUAGCCGGGUGUGGUGGUAUGCAUCUGUAGUUCCAGCUACUCAGGAGGCUGAGGUGGGAGGAUCGCUUGAACUCAGGAGGUGGAGGUUGCAGUGAACAGAGAACGCACCGGUACCUGGACAACAAAGUGAGACCCUGUCAUAAAAUAAAAUAGUUAAACCCAGGCCAGGAGGGGUGGCUCAUGCCUGUAAUCCCAGCACUUUGGAAGGCCAAGGUAGGCUGAUCACGUGACGUCAGGAGGUUGAGACCAGCCUGGCCAACAUGGUGAAACCCCGUCUCUACUAAAAAUACAAAAAUUAACCAAGCGUGGUGGCAGGCACCUGUAGUCCCAGCUACUCUGGAGGCUGAGACAGGAGAAUUACUAGAACCCGGGAGGCAGAGGUUGCAGUGAGCCAAGAUCUUACCAUUGCACUGCAGCCUGGGCGACAGAGUGACACUCUGUCGAAAAAAAAAAAAAAAAAAAAGUUAAGCCCAAAAAGUAAGUAAGGAAGAGGUUUGGAAUUAGAUAUUUGUUGUAUGAAUGAGUGAGCUAAAGUGCAAAAGAACGGGCAGAAUAACUGAGCUGGUACAGAGGGAAAAAAUCACAUUUAAAAUCUAAAAAUAUCUGCUUCUUAGUUCAGGCUUUCCCACUUAGCAGCUUUGGCACCUUAGGAACACUUAACUUAUCUGAGCCUCUAUUACUUCUAAAAAGUGCAUAAAGUGCAGACUAAGACAGUUUUUUUGGCAAAAUUCAGUCAGACUACAUCAAGUAAACUCCCUAAGUCUCCUAGUAUAAUUCAUGGCACAAAAAAUUGGGGAAAAAACAGGGAGGAUAUGAUUAUAAGUUCAGUUUAUGUUUUUUGUUGAGUGAAUGUCUCCAGUCAUAGAGAUGCAAGUGUAGAUACACAGUAAGAGUAGUAUGAAUGGGAGACACCUUGGAAGGCUAUUUCUUCCUUCCUUCAUUCAGUUGGUCACUCAGUGAACUAUCAUGAAUUGAGCACCGCCUCUGUUUCUUAUCAACAAAGGAGACUGCGGAAAAGAAGAGUGACUAAGAUCUCUGAAGAAGGGAAAAGCUAGAUGACUGGGCCACAAGAGGAAAAAAAGCAGCAAGACAGUUACAAUUGUUUCUGGUCCCACUUUUAUAAACACACACACACACACACACACACACACACACACACACAAAAUCAUUUAAUCAUUUUUAAGUAUUUAAUCAUUUUUUAAAAAUCUGUGAUGCUUUACCUGGGCAUGUCUAGGCAGGUCCUCCUUUGCUAGGACGUGCCCUUUUCUGUCCCGGAAUACUCUAAACUUGGCAUUUUGGCAGCGUGAAGUUUUCCCGUUGUGACUUUCUCCUUGUUCCCUUUUCUCCUCCUUCUUUGCAGACAAUGAGUAGCCACUGCUGUUUGCCCUGGCCCAUCAAUGAGAAGAUCUGCUCUUAGAGCCCUGCUUUCCUGCUGAAGGCCCUGAAAUCACCUGUGUUCCAGGCCACCUGCUAACAAUAAAUAAUGCUGCCCUGAUGUGGGGAAUUAGCUCAAGUGGUAGAGCGCUUGCUUAGCACGCAAGAGGUAGUGGGAUCGAUGCCCACAUUCUCCAAGCUUUAUUAUUUAGACAUCGUGUCUCCAAACACUCAGGUCUCCAAACCCAAGUUAGUGUCUGAGAACAGGAUGCUGCUUUGGUUCAAGACGUAGGAGCAGCAAUAAUAGAGGGCUGGUGAUGGCUCCCUCUUGGCAUUCAGUAUAGUGUAGAUCUACCAUGUAAUUAAUUCUCUGUUUCUUUGAGGAGCUGUGAAACCAAGGGACAUAUACAACUGCUCUUUUCUCCCUGUUUCUACCUGCAGCUUUGUCCUAAAUGUGAGACAAUUAUGAAAAGUGCAGCGCAGAGCCACUUGGGUAAAUACAGCCCCGGCUUUCUGCUCAGGGGACAGAGUUUGAGGCACUGCAGAGGAACCGGCCAAAGUAUGAGACCCAUAUAUUGAGAGUAACAGAGUGUAAAGUUCAAAAAAAUCAAAAUAUUUAAAGAUUUAUCAUGGGUCUUGAUGACAUGAUGGAAUCUCUCUACUCUCUGGACUUAUUAUGUGUGGUAAUAAAUUUACUUUUUAAAAGCCA
rnacentral:tRNA from 1 species